CUUUCGCCACCGCGAACGAAGCCUCGCGCUGAUCGCGACGCACAAUGCAGGGAGCCGACAACGGCGCGCAGCUCCAGAUGCUUCUGCGCGUCAACGAAUACGUGCAGGAGCAGCGACAGGUGUACAUGACACUGUCGUUUGGCGAGCAGCGUCGACGUGGCCCACUCCUGUUAGAGGACUUGCUGACCAUGGUGAUGCACAACUUCCUUCGGGAGGCAGAGGGCAACGAAGGGGACGACGACGGUGGCGUGCGGCGACCAAGGGCACGUGCGGGGAUGGCCAGCGGGGCCCAUACCUUGGAGAUGCUCAUCUCGUCGACGAACUCGUUGCCCUUUGCGCUCCGCGACGUUCCUGCCCUCGCCAACGUGGCGGCGCUGCAGCUUCGACUGACAUCCACUGUCAUGGCAGCCAUCAGCACUCGAGCCAUAGUAACGGUUCACGAGCUGGAGGAAUGGGUCUGCGCUCAGGAGGGCGUGGAGCACUUCGCCGAGCUCGGGCUCGGUGUCGGCUUGCAGGUGUUGCCGGUUGUGCAGGAAUACUUCCAGCUGCGCGCGAACUCCGUCGUGUUCCCGGUGCGGGCUCGGGACGUGAUCGCGUUUCUGCUGAACGAUACCACGGCGAGGGACAUGUUGCUCUAUGGCGGCGGCGACACCCGCGACUUGCUAUACCGCUUCGCCGCCUUCUACGAGCGUCACGUACUCCGCAACGCCUCGCCGUCUUCCGCCUCUGCAACUGUGCGUGGACAGGGUCGACUGCUGAACGUGCGCCAGCUCGGCAUUCACGUACAGGACUACACCGCGCUGCUCGCGGCGCUGACGCAGGAGCUGGCGAGUGCACACCGGCUUGAGCAACAGCAGUACCAGCGGUGGAUAGAGAGCUGCGUCACCGCAGAGACAGCCGUCACCCAAACCGCCAGCACUCGCGACUCGGCGGGUGUGGCGGCUGCGAAGGAUAGUGCCGCUGGUGAAGAUGCACUUGUCAGGGACGCGUCUUUCGAGGCGGCGGCUCGGCGGGAGCGGAACCGGGCACUGUACGAGCGUGUAUUACACUCCUUCGACUCCGCCUGCGCGCACGCGGAGCUUGUCGAGGGCAUGCGGCGCACCCACGAGAAGGCUCUCUGCGCCAGUCUCGGUAGUGACGCCGACGCCGUGCCGUGCGCGAGGUCUGCCGGCGCUCGCGCCAUAAAAUUUGCCGUCGCCUUCACAGAGGCGGAGGCGCGCAACUACAGUCUCCCUCUGUCGCUGUGGCGCACAGUGCCUCUGGACGACGAAGCAUGCAGCUCACUGGCGGGCGGCAAUGGAUGGGGAGGAGGGGUUGAGCUGCGCUUUCACGUGGGUGCGUUGACCGCGACGGAGGUGAGCCGGGCAGCACAAGGACCCGCACAAGGCAGCAGCGCGUCGACAACCCUGCGGGCAGCCCCUCUGAACUCUCAGUGGACCACGAAUGCCGCGAAGGGUGAGAAACAGACUCCUGGCCAACGCAUCUCCAACGACAGUAUAAGUGUGGUGCCGCCGCCGCCAUCAUCGGCGAUGCGUCGGCGACGCGGCACUGUUGUCUCCGACAGACCGUCUGCAAUCUCCAUGGGGACACCUAUCGCUGCUGCUGGUGCUGCUGCGGCGACGGAGACGCGGCGGGUGACCUCACCAGACGCUGCGCCUGCUCUCGUCGACGCCACCUCCACAAUACCGGCUGUAACGGCAACAUCAGCCAUUCCACUGCUGUCCUCGCUGCUGGCACCGGCUGGGUCGCUCGGCCUGGCUGUUACGAGCAGCUCCACCACCGCCGAUGCACCGCCGAGUGUGUCUCCGCGAAGCGCUGACACUGCUGUCGAGCGCGCGCCAAGCGUGGAGGGCAAGCUAUCAGCUGCCGAUGUGGUUGGAAGCUCUGUGGAGACGCCCACCGAGCCCAAGACAGCACUGGAGAAGCUUGGCGACCUGCUGAUGCAGCACCGACGGUGGAGUGCAGCGAACAAGCGACGAGGCAAACCUGCAAGCGAGCAGCCGAUGGUCCUGAGCACAGGCGAUACGUGGCUGGACCUUGCCGUGUCGGCGUUUGAGACCUUCGCGGUCGGCGAUGUGGUUCCCGUGAAGCUGCUCUACGAAGCGUGGGCGACGUGCGCGGACUGUCGAGGACCGGCCCAGCCACCACCGUUGCCGCACUCGGCCAGGGCACACGGUGCCACGUCAGGCCGCUUUACACAUCGUCGCUGCAUACCUCUCUUCCACCCCUUCGUCACCUCGCUCGGCCUCAGUAACGCCGCGCCGCUCAGCCCGCUCGCAUUGCUGCGGCGGCAGCUUGGAGCAGGUGACACCAGCGGCGCGCCGCCGGCCACUGCCUCAGCCCCCGGUGCAGAGGGUGGCGCGGCCGACGAGAGAAAGGAAAUCGUGUACAUGGCGACGCCGGUGGAGGUGUGCUGGCUGUCAUGGUGGGGCCCAGCGCUGUCUGACGAGCGCGCCUCACGCGAAGCGGCGAUCCUCACCUGCGCCUGCUUAGAGCGUCAUUACCCCUCAUAUCUGCAAGGCGUCUUUUGCGGCCAGCUCCGUGUGCGCGCAAGGCCCACCGUCGCGGCGUGGUGCACGGCAGCCGCCGCGUUCGCGCGUCGGCUGUGCCCGCUUUCCGCGUUGACGCCGUCGUUCACGGACGCGUACGUGGAGUCGUUUGCUUGCUGCGUGGACGCGGAUGUCGCGGCGCGGGUGGCAGAGGUGCAGCAGGAGGGGACGCCGACGCCCGGGUCCGACUCUGUCGAGCUGCCCUUCCUCCAGCGACAGCAACGGACGGCGCAGAUGGCCCUACGCAGGGUGCUGGCGAAUCUGCAGGAGUCGCUGGCGGGGGCGUCGCCUUGGCGGGCCGGGCUGUUUCCGUGCGACCAUGCCUGGCGCUGCGGUCUCGAUGGGUUGCUCUACGCGACGCCUCAGUGGUGCGGCUACGGCGGGGUCCUGCUGACGGCGUCGUCGCCGUCUUUGCCGGCGCACACGUCGGUAGCGGCGUACCUUUCUAAAGGCGGCAGUGCCAACGGUGCUGGCGCCGCUCCCCCGCUGCGUGUUCUGUGCUUCAGAGCGCAUGAGCCGUCGUGGGCAGUGUGCUCAGUGCUGCACUAUCUCGGUAUUCGCCCUCUCUCGCAGCUGGCAGAGACGCGUGUGAGCUUCCACACCACCGUCGCCACGGAUGUCAGUGGCGUGCUGCAUGACAAGAUUGCCGCCAUUGUGCCGUACGUGCAGGCCUUCUGCCGCGCCUCUCUCCCUCUGUGGUACGGUGUCGUGUACGUGCAGAUGCGUGAGCGGCUCCGGCGACUGCGAGUGGUGUUGACCGCUUCGGCGUCGCCGGUGCAGACGCUUCGCCUGCACCUGAACGGACACGUGUACGCGCAUGUGCGACAGCUUCGGCUGGGGUACGUUGCUGCGCACAACGUCGUCUACGGCGCCGCUGAGGCGACCUCCGUCCCGAUGCUGGCCGAGGUGCUUCUGCCGCUGUUCAUGCCGGUUGGUAUGUCGGCAGAGGCCGACGUCCGGCAGCUGCGUGACGUGAUCCUCCGCCUCCUUGGUGCCCUGUCCUCGCUGGACAGCUCCGUCGAGUGGCGCGACGGCGCUGACACCUCGCCACAGCAGCAGCAGUGGCGGCGUGAGGAGAUCGAGCCCGUGCUGCGGCCUGUCGCCGUGCAUUAUGGCCUAAACCCCUUUACUGGCGUGUUUAGCGAAGCACCUCCGCCCGCCUCUGGCGUGUUGGCCGGCGCGGUGGGCUCCGCACACGAAAGCGAUGCUCACGGCGCUCAAGCAGAGGCUCCGUUCACUCUCUCGUCGCGCGCCUUCAUACGCUAUAUGCCGAACUACCCCCCAGGCACCGACGCCAUGCGACAACCACGCGGGUCUGAGCAAGCCCACACAGCGCAUCGAACUGGAGAAACGUCGGGCACGCAGUCGCUGACUCAAGCAAACGUGCAGGAGCUGGUGGCGCAUGCGAGGCCUUUCUCGUCACGCACAGCUUCCGUAGCCAGGGCCGGCGGCGGCCUCAUGCAACGGCUCGGCGCGAACGGGCGGCUUUCCGCCACCCUCUCUCUCGGCGGCAGCACAGCGGUGGUGACGUCUACGCCUGCUUGGUCCAACUUCCCCAUGGAGCUCGACGUGGACGCCGUCGUAGCCGCAAGCGUCGUGGUCGGGGCUACUGAUGGCAGUGGUCGCGGUGGCAACGCGAGUGCAGCAGCACGCGACCAUCAGAGAGACGGCGACGAUGACAGCAGUUCGACGCUGGGUAGCGAUCGUGAGGGAGGCAACAGCGCCGCUGUUGGAGGUGACGAAGAAGAGGAGCAAGAUUCCUUCCUCACGUUCCAGUACCAUCGCAGGAGCGGCACCGCCUCCAGCGCGCUUCGAGGCAGAGGAGGCGGUGCCGAGUCCCGUAAACGGUUGCGCGCCGGUAAUAACCACGCUGCUGGGCAGGUGAGAGGACGACUCCGCGACGACUCUGCCGGGCGUGAUGUGCGCGCUGCCGGGAUGUGGCUUCGACCGCCUGCUGCGUCUGCCAUGACCGGCACGAGUGGCGACACCCCCGACUACGCGAUCGCGGCAGAGCGCUACGUCUACGAACUGCUUCGAGAGGAGUACGCCAAGCAAGCGCAUCAGGGCGGUGUGCGCGUUAUUUGGAUGAAUGAGAGCUGCGAGGCCGGCUCGCCCUUCGACAUCCUCGUCAUCAAGCCGCGACGGCUGGGCAGCAGCGGCAGCAGCAGCAGCGGCAAUGCUAAGGUGAACCGUAGCAGCUCCGUCGACAACAGCCGCUGGGACGUGGUGCAGUACGUGGAGGUGAAGUCCACCUGCACCACCAAUCGAGAAGACUUCGAGAUGUCCGUGGCAGAGCUUCUCUUCGCCGCGCGCUUCGGCGCCGCGUACUGCGUCUACCGCGUCUUCGGCGCCUCGACGGACGCGCUGCAUCGAAUGAGGCAUCGCGUCUACACUGACAUUUUGCAGCUGUGGCAUACGGCGCGGCUGACCAUUACCUCCGACAUCCGUGUCACGCCGUCGACAUGACGACGCGCGAUGACACGUCGCUCCGCUCUUCGCUUCACCGCUUUCCUCUCUCGGGCCUUCUCGGACCCCCUCUCCCUUGCACCGCACGCUCGAGCGUGUUUCUUGUCGUGGAUAACUCGUAUAAACUCGCGCACUGACACAUGCGAUGAUCAGCAACGCUAAGAAAGGAAUGCCAAGGCAAGGUACUGCUCUUGCGGUGCAAGCGACGAGCGUACACACACACACACACACACGAUGCCUCGUUCUCCAGCGAGAGGGAGAGUAGUGAGAAGGCUUUUAUCCGCGGCCGCUUCUCCAUCCUCUCCUUCAGCGAACCCUCUCCUCCUCACCGUUCUCCGUAGCGCAUGAUAACUCACUCCUGCAAGUGUCUCGAUGUGUGCGCGCGCGUGUGCACACAAUACCCGGCGGUGCCCCUGUCUCUUGGCCACCUUCCCAUUCUCGUCACUGAUCCUCCCCCUCCUCGUCCACCACAG
rnacentral:misc_RNA from 1 species